CUCCUACGGGAGGCAGCAGUGGGGAAUUUUGCGCAAUGGGCGAAAGCCUGACGCAGCAAUGCCGCGCGAGUGAUGAAGGCCUUCGGGUCGUAAAGCUCUGUCAGAGGGGAAGAACCUCCCGUCGGUUAAUAUCCGGCGGGCCUGACGGUACCCUCAAAGGAAGCACCGGCUAACUCCGUGCCAGCAGCCGCGGUAAUACA
rnacentral:rRNA from 1 species